rfam:Roseburia sp. CAG:45 genomic scaffold, scf58
UGAAGCAAACGGUUAGAGGCACCUGGCAUUUCGUACAAUAUCAGGCAGCACCGGCACAUGGAUGUGACGGUGAGGUGCAGCUUGAACAUGGAUGUGAAUCUGCACCGGUUGCCGUACGAUGUCAGGCAUACUAGGAAAAUGCCUGCUGCCUCUUACCGGUUUGCUUU